rnacentral:rRNA from 1 species
CACGCUGUAAACUAUGAUGACUAGCUGCCGGCGAUACACUGUCGGUGGCCCAGCGAAAGCGAUAAGUCAUCCACCUGGGGAGUACGACCGCAAGGUUGAAACUCAAAGGAAUUGACGGGGGCCCGCACAAGCGGAGGAACAUGUGGUUUAAUUCGAUGAUACGCGAGGAACCUUACCCGGGCUCGAACGGCAGUUGACAUAUACAGAGACGUAUAUUCCCUUCGGGGCAUCUGUCGAGGUGC